GCAUUAAUGGGGUAGUGGUAACCUGGGUCGUUGCCAUCAGGGGAUCGAGCAAUAUUUAAGCGCUUAAGCCUCGACCCGCCGGGGGUUCGAUUCCCUCUUAAUGCA